rnacentral:lncRNA from 1 species
CGGAAAGCAGUAAUUGUUGUGGUUUGGAAUUGAAUGUUAUGAAACACCAAACUUGAAAUCUCGGAGAAUUUAGGAGGAAAUUAGGAGACGAAUUAGGGAGACAUUAGGAGGAAAUUAAGGAGACAAUUAGGGAGACAUUAGGAGGAAAAUAGGAGACUUUAGGAGGAAAUUAAGGAGACAAUUAGGGAGACAUUAGGAGGAAAAUAGGAGACUUUAGGAGGAAAUUAAGGAGACAAUUAGGGAGACAUUAGGAGGAAAUUAGGAGACUUUAGGAGGAAAUUAAGGAGACAAUUAGGGAGACAUUAGGAGGAAAUUAAGGAGACGAAUUUGGGAGAAGCUGGGAGUAAAUCUCGGUGACUCAGUUUGGGUGGUAAUAGUUGGGUGACAAUAUAUGUAGAGGGUAAAUUAUACCUAUAGUUUUAAUUAGUCAAAGAAAUAUAUGUCUUGGUGACGAUAAUAACCACUAGUAUUUAUAUACAGAUGGUUAUUUUAAACAGAUGUUGUUGAAUUAAGGCUACAUAAUUUUAUAGGUGUUCUUUUAUUGAGACCCUUUGUACGCCUGAAUGAGCUAUAUGCUAAUGAUAGUUUUUAAACUAGUCGACUGAAUCUACAGAGUGGUUAUACUCUGGAUUGUUAUAUAUAUGUGUGUAUAUAUAUAUAUAUUUAAUUAGUUAGACCAACCAUACCAGGAACCCAACCAAACCAGAAACAGCUAGAGCCUUCACAGCCAUUCUCUCUGACAUUUUAAGAUUGUUAAAUAAAUGAUCACAAGUUUUAUAUGUU